rnacentral:rRNA from 1 species
CUACGGGUUGCUCCAGUGGGGAAUAUUGCACAAUGGGCGCAAGCCUGAUGCAGCAACGCCGCGUGAACGAUGAAGGUCUUCGGAUCGUAAAGUUCUUUUCUUAGGGAAGAAAAAUGACGGUACCUAAGGAAUAAGCACCGGCUAAAUACGUGCCAGCAGCCGCGGUAAUACGUAUGGUGCAAGCGUUAUCCGGAAUCACUGGGCGUAAAGGGAGCGUAGGCGGUUUUGCAAGUCAGAAGUGAAAGGCUACGGCUCAACCGUGGUAAGCUUUUGAAACUGCAAGACUAGAGUGCAGGAGAGGCAAGUGGAAUUCCUAGUGUAGAGGUGAAAUUCGUAGAUAUUAGGAGGAACACCAGUGGCGAAGGCGACUUGCUGGACUGUAACUGACGCUGAGGCUCGAAAGCGUGGGGAGCGAACAGGAUUAGAUACCCCCGUAGUC